AGCGGCGAACGGGUGAGUAAUGCAUCGGAACAUGUCCAUGUCGUGGGGGAUAGCCCGGCGAAAGCCGGAUUAAUACCGCAUACGCCCGAGAGGGGAAAGCCGGGGACCGCAAGGCCUGGCGCGAUUGGGUUGGCCGAUGUCCGAUUAGCUUGUUGGUGAGGUAAAGGCUUACCAAGGCGAUGAUCGGUAGCUGGUCUGAGAGGAUGAUCAGCCACACUGGGACUGAGACACGGCCCAGACUCCUACGGGAGGCAGCAGUGGGGAAUUUUGGACAAUGGGGGCAACCCUGAUCCAGCCAUUCCGCGUGAGUGAAGAAGGCCUUCGGGUUGUAAAGCUCUUUUGUCCGGAGCGAAACGGCACAGGUGAAUAUCCCGUGCUACUGACGGUACCGGAAGAAUAAGCACCGGCUAACUACGUGCCAGCAGCCGCGGUAAUACGUAGGGUGCGAGCGUUAAUCGGAAUUACUGGGCGUAAAGCGUGCGCAGGCGGUUUUGUAAGCCAGACGUGAAAUCCCCGGGCUUAACCUGGGAAUGGCGUUUGGGACUGCAAGGCUUGAGUAUGGCAGAGGGGACUAGAAUUCCUGGUGUAGCAGUGAAAUGCGUAGAUAUCAGGAGGAAUACCGAUGGCGAAGGCAGGUCCCUGGGUUAAUACUGACGCUCAUGCACGAAAGCGUGGGGAGCAAACAGGAUUAGAUACCCUG
rnacentral:rRNA from 1 species